UGAAGCCCCGGCGUUGAACAGCUGCAGCUCGUAUCAAGUCCGUAUUUUAUAUUUUAAACUGCUAGCUACACACCUAUGCUUAAAUCCAAACGGACUAAACCAAGUGGAAACGCUUUGGUAGAUGCCACGUGCAAAGUCAUGCCACCAUCAAUGGGAAUGGCACAUUGGACACGUGGCUUUCAACUCCAGCGAGGUGGCGGCACGGAUCUCUGCAUGUCUGACUGACAUCUCCCAGUGGAUGUCCGCCCAUCACCUGAAGAUCAACCCCGACAAGACUGAACUACUUCUCUUCCCUGGAAAAAACUCGCCCACUCAGGACCUGACUGUUAACUUUGGCGAACACCGUUAACAUCAGGAGAAUACGACCCCUUCUCACUCAGAAGGCGGCGCAGCACACGGCACAGGUUGGCGUCACAAUCAUGGCAAAGUCGACUGGACCACAGCGGAAAAUGAUCCUUCCAGAAAAGAAGUUAUUUACUUCUACAACGAAUGGAAGAGUUACAACUUCCAGAUGACAGCUCUCCGCUCAUCCUUCUGGGCAACUUAAACAUCCGACAGAACUUAUGUGACCCUACUGCGUUUUAUUUUCUCCUUUAGCUCUCAUUUAAGUAUUAAAAUUCGCUGUAUUUUUGCAAGAGAGGCACCAAUCCUAUUUGAGUGACGUUUCGAAUGUGAAAUUGUAUUGGACCAUAUAGGUCAUCUGCAGAGCGUUGGCCCCUGGCGCAGUAAACCAGGGUUUGAUUCUUGGCAUGCACAAGACUCCUCAUGUGACUUAAAAUGAAUCCAGAAUGCAAUAUUUGUUCAGUAUGCAAGGGCAGUGAUUUAUUUAGUCAUGUUUGGUCAUGUUUUGGUUUUUUUACAUGACAAUAUGGUUUGGUACAUGCUGAGUUAAUGAAUAUACAUUCUAAAGUGCAAUGUCCAUAUGUGAAUAAGAGUUGUAUAUGUUUAUCAUAGUCAAUAUGGUAUGGAAAUAUCCCUUAUGUAGUUGGUCAAUAGGAACUAUAGUAGGCAGUAAUAACAGCUAAGGUAAUUACAGGUGGAUAUUUCUGGGAAUUAACCUUAAAUGAGACUGCAUCUAUGAUAUCUAAGAUAUACAGGACAAGAAAAAUGCACUGGAUGUGUAUAUGUGUUGAAUCAAUUAUACAGACGCAAACUGGAGAACGAGACAAGUGUU